rnacentral:rRNA from 1 species
AGAGUUUGAUCCUGGCUCAGAGCGAACGCUGGCGGCAGGCUUAACACAUGCAAGUCGAACGGGCACUUCGGUGCUAGUGGCAGACGGGUGAGUAACACGUGGGAACGUACCUUUCGGUUCGGAAUAAUUCAGGGAAACUUGGACUAAUACCGGAUACGCCCUUCGGGGGAAAGAUUUAUCGCCGAUAGAUCGGCCCGCGUCUGAUUAGCUAGUUGGUGAGGUAAUGGCUCACCAAGGCGACGAUCAGUAGCUGGUCUGAGAGGAUGAUCAGCCACAUUGGGACUGAGACACGGCCCAAACUCCUACGGGAGGCAGCAGUGGGGAAUAUUGGACAAUGGGCGCAAGCCUGAUCCAGCCAUGCCGCGUGAGUGAUGAAGGCCUUAGGGUUGUAAAGCUCUUUUGUCCGGGAAGAUAAUGACUGUACCGGAAGAAUAAGCCCCGGCUAACUUCGUGCCAGCAGCCGCGGUAAUUCA